UAUCCUUAUAAUCUGGCGGAUUGGCGCUAGAUUAUACACGACCGGACCUUAAUCCGGUGUAUCCAGGGAAA
rnacentral:ncRNA from 1 species